UACAGAGGUCCCAAGCGUUGUUCGGAUUCAUUGGGCGUAAAGGGUGCGUAGGCGGCGCGGUAAGUCGGGUGUGAAAUCUCGGAGCUUAACUCCGAAACUGCAUUCGAUACUGCGGUGCUUGAGGACUGGAGAGGAGACUGGAAUUCAUGGUGUAGCAGUGAAAUGCGUAGAGAUCAUGAGGAAGACCAGUGGCGAAGGCGGGUCUCUGGACAGUUCCUGACACUGAGACACGAAGGCCAGGGGAGCAAACGGG
rnacentral:rRNA from 1 species